GAGCUUGAUCAUGGCUCAGAUUGAACGCUGGCGGCAGGCCUAACACAUGCAAGUCGAACGGUAGCACAGAGAGCUUGCUCUCGGGUGACGAGUGGCGGACGGGUGAGUAAUGUCUGGGAAACUGCCUGAUGGAGGGGGAUAACUACUGGAAACGGUAGCUAAUACCGCAUAACGUCUUCGGACCAAAGUGGGGGACCUUCGGGCCUCACACCAUCGGAUGUGCCCAGAUGGGAUUAGCUAGUAGGUGGGGUAAUGGCUCACCUAGGCGACGAUCCCUAGCUGGUCUGAGAGGAUGACCAGCCACACUGGAACUGAGACACGGUCCAGACUCCUACGGGAGGCAGCAGUGGGGAAUAUUGCACAAUGGGCGCAAGCCUGAUGCAGCCAUGCCGCGUGUAUGAAGAAGGCCUUCGGGUUGUAAAGUACUUUCAGCGGGGAGGAAGGCGAUAAGGUUAAUAACCUUAUCGAUUGACGUACCCGC
rnacentral:rRNA from 1 species